AUGGAAGCCAAGGUUUUCAAGAUGAUGCUCCACUUUAUUUACACGGACACACUGCCUAAUAUAGAUGAAGGUGAAAUCACGGAGAUGGCUCAACAUCUGUUUGUGGCGGCAGACAGAUACAAUUUGGAGAGGCUCAAAUUGAUUUGCGCGAAUAUGCUGUGCAACUACAUGGAUGUAGGUACAGCGGCGACUACAUUGGCACUGGCCGAGCAGCAUGAUUGUGACAAGCUUAAGGAGGUAUGCUACAGGUUCCUCAAGUCUUUUCAAAAUUUGAAGGCAGUCACGCUGACUGUGGCUUUAAGCAUCUCAAGAUCAUUCGCCCCAAUAUUCUAG
rnacentral:rRNA from 1 species